rnacentral:rRNA from 1 species
UACGAAGGGGGCUAGCGUUGCUCGGAAUGACUGGGCGUAAAGGGCGCGCAGGCGGCUCAGACAGUCCGAUGUGAAAGCCCCGGGCUUAACCUGGGAACUGCAUUUGAUACUACUGAGCUUGAGUACGGGAGAGGAUAGUGGAAUUCCCAGUGUAGAGGUGAAAUUCGUAGAUAUUGGGAAGAACACCGGUGGCGAAGGCGGCUAUCUGGACCGUAACUGACGCUGAGGCGCGAAAGCGUGGGGAGCAAACAGG